UGGUGCAAGGCUGAAGUGUGCACAGAUUCCUCAGAUGCUGCCUGGAACAAACUGCUCACAUUCUCUGACAGGCCAAACUUUGCAGGCAUACAAAAAUCCAUGGCACUGGUACAAUUGGGGUUUCCAUGGUAAACAAGAAAACACCUUUCGAAAUUCCAAGAUCUGCCUACGCUAUCUUCUUCUAAUGCGUGGAAUCUACAUACACAUAAAUGCUGCACAAGAACAUACUGCAGCAUAAAGAAAAAACUAUCACGAUGUGUCAACAGGAACCCAUACAUAUCAAAGAAAUAAUACAUUCACUGGAGAGACAUUCCGUGCAUAAGAUGGCUAAACAUGAUCCAGGAGCUGUCACUUAAGGCCAGCACAAACCUGGACAACACUGCACCUUUGUUCAUGUAUUGAAUUGUAUUUCACCACUUGCACUGAAAGCACCACUAGGGACUUGUGAUCUUGUGUGUAUUUGUGGGUGAUAAAGUAACUAUGUUAUUAUUUGGGACUGCAAUCCAUGCUUUACAACAGUGCAGUAUACAUUGCUGUGUAUUGCCUGGGAUUAUUAUUUCGGGUCACAAGACCAGGAUUAUUAAAAUAAACACAAUUGUACCUGGAUUAUCUUUUCAAUGAUCACCGCAUCACUCCUGCACCUGCACACUGCAAGCCACUUUGCCACACUCUCAAACAAAGCUCUUUGUGUAAUUUCUCAAAUGCACGAAGUAGCGAUCAU